AAUUGACUCAGGUCCUUCAUUUCCAUGUCAAGCAUCCAGAAUUGCAUUCUGAGGUAGGUCAAGUUUUUCUAGACUAAGCCACCCAAAACCAUUUUCACUCUACUAUAGGAUUAGUCCAUAAAUGUCUGAUAAAUCAUCAUGAUCUAUAAUCUUAAGUAUUAAACUUGCAAGUUAAAUUAGAUAAGGAAAUAAUUAUCAAAUACUUGAAUAAAUUGCUACUAAUUGUACUUCUGAAUUCUAAUUAACUCUUUUAAAGCACUUUACAUAUAGUGAUUCUCUUUACCAUUUUAACCAUUUCUUGAUUAAAAGUUAAUGAUUAUGGGAA